rnacentral:rRNA from 1 species
AACGAACGCUGGCGGCAUGCCUAACACAUGCAAGUCGAACGAGACCUUCGGGUCUAGUGGCGCACGGGUGCGUAACGCGUGGGAAUCUGCCCUUGGGUUCGGAAUAACUCAGAGAAAUUUGAGCUAAUACCGGAUGAUGACGAAAGUCCAAAGAUUUAUCGCCCAGGGAUGAGCCCGCGUAAGAUUAGCUUGUUGGUAGGGUAAUGGCCUACCAAGGCGACGAUCUUUAGCUGGUCUGAGAGGAUGAUCAGCCACACUGGGACUGAGACACGGCCCAGACUCCUACGGGAGGCAGCAGUGGGGAAUAUUGGACAAUGGGCGAAAGCCUGAUCCAGCAAUGCCGCGUGAGUGAUGAAGGCCUUAGGGUUGUAAAGCUCUUUUACCAGGGAUGAUAAUGACAGUACCUGGAGAAUAAGCUCCGGCUAACUCCGUG